AUGCUGUGAUGGCGUAUGGCAGAAGCGCGCAGAUUGUGUACUUUUGAUUCUUUAUUACAGUUUAAGUGUCCGGUUCGAUCUCUGCGGUCGCAAACUUGUGAAUUUGAGUAAUCAAUUCUUCAAGUUUCAGCAAUGAGUGGCAAUAUCGCUGGAGGGAAGCAAUUCAGCACAGCACGCUACCCGUAGAGAGGCGAAGCGGAUGGCACUUGGCUGGCUUUGGUAAGGAGUUAUAAGUAUCUUGUGUGUCGACUCCAAUUUU
rnacentral:SRP_RNA from 14 species